GACGAACGCUGGCGGCGUGCUUAACACAUGCAAGUCGAACGAAGUGGCGAACGGGUGAGUAACGCGUAAUCAACCUGCCCUUCAGAGGGGGAUAACAGUUGGAAACGACUACUAAUACCGCAUACUGAAGGAGGGGAUGGCGGCUGAUUAGCUAGUUGGAGGGGUACCGGCCCAACAAGGCGAUGAUCAGUAGCCGGUCUGAGAGGAUGAACGGCCACAUUGGGACUGAGACACGGCCCAGACUCCUACGGGAGGCAGCAGUGGGGAAUCUUCCGCAAUGGACGAAAGUCUGACGGAGCAACGCCGCGUGAGUGAUGACGGCCUUCGGGUUGUAAAGCUCUGUUAAUCGGGACGCGGUACCGGAAUAGAAAGCCACGGCUAACUACGUGCCAGCAGCCGCGGUAAUUC
rnacentral:rRNA from 1 species